GGACCGCAUCCCGACCGUCCUCGUACCCCACCCGGUACGAGGCGAAGCCCGACUCGAGCAUCUCCUCCCGAUACUGGUCGGAGGCCCGGAAGUCCUCAACCGCCCGACUGGCCAACUCCUUCGCCGACCUUGCCUCUUCUUCCGCCCGGCCGAGCGCGUCCUUCGCCGACUCUGCCUCCGCCUUCGCUAUGUCAGCAUCGGCCUGGG
rnacentral:lncRNA from 1 species